rnacentral:rRNA from 1 species
GUCGAACGAGCUUCCGUUGAAUGACGUGCUUGCACUGAUUUCAACAAUGAAGCGAGUGGCGAACUGGUGAGUAACACGUGGGAAAUCUGCCCAGAAGCAGGGGAUAACACUUGGAAACAGGUGCUAAUACCGUAUAACAACAAAAUCCGCAUGGAUUUUGUUUGAAAGGUGGCUUCGGCUAUCACUUCUGGAUGAUCCCGCGGCGUAUUAGUUAGUUGGUGAGGUAAAGGCCCACCAAGACGAUGAUACGUAGCCGACCUGAGAGGGUAAUCGGCCACAUUGGGACUGAGACACGGCCCAAACUCCUACGGGAGGCAGCAGUAGGGAAUCUUCCACAAUGGACGAAAGUCUGAUGGAGCAAUGCCGCGUGAGUGAAGAAGGGUUUCGGCUCGUAAAACUCUGUUGUUAAAGAAGAACACCUUUGAGAGUAACUGUUCAAGGGUUGACGGUAUUUAACCAGAAAGCCACGGCUAACUACGUGCCAGCAGCCGCGGUAAUACGUAGGUGGCAAGCGUUGUCCGGAUUUAUUGGGCGUAAAGCGAGCGCAGGCGGUUUUUUAAGUCUGAUGUGAAAGCCUUCGGCUUAACCGGAGAAGUGCAUCGGAAACUGGGAGACUUGAGUGCAGAAGAGGACAGUGGAACUCCAUGUGUAGCGGUGGAAUGCGUAGAUAUAUGGAAGAACACCAGUGGCGAAGGCGGCUGUCUAGUCUGUAACUGACGCUGAGGCUCGAAAGCAUGGGUAGCGAACAGGAUUAGAUACCCUGGUAGUCCAUGCCGUAAACGAUGAGUGCUAAGUGUUGGAGGGUUUCCGCCCUUCAGUGCUGCAGCUAACGCAUUAAGCACUCCGCCUGGGGAGUACGACCGCAAGGUUGAAACUCAAAGGAAUUGACGGGGGCCCGCACAAGCGGUGGAGCAUGUGGUUUAAUUCGAAGCUACGCGAAGAACCUUACCAGGUCUUGACAUCUUCUGCCAAUCUUAGAGAUAAGACGUUCCCUUCGGGGACAGAAUGACAGGUGGUGCAUGGUUGUCGUCAGCUCGUGUCGUGAGAUGUUGGGUUAAGUCCCGCAACGAGCGCAACCCUUAUUAU